GAUGAACGCUGGCGGCGUGCCUAAUACAUGCAAGUCGAGCGAACAGACGAGGAGCUUGCUCCUCUGACGUUAGCGGCGGACGGGUGAGUAACACGUGGAUAACCUACCUAUAAGACUGGGAUAACUUCGGGAAACCGGAGCUAAUACCGGAUAAUAUAUUGAACUGCAUGGUUCAAUAGUGAAAGACGGUUUUGCUGUCACUUAUAGAUGGAUCCGCGCCGCAUUAGCUAGUUGGUAAGGUAACGGCUUACCAAGGCAACGAUGCGUAGCCGACCUGAGAGGGUGAUCGGCCACCCUGGAACUGAGACACGGUCCAGACUCCUACGGGAGGCAGCAGUAGGGAAUCUUACGCAAUGGGCGAAAGCCUGACGGAGCAACGCCGCGUGAGUGAUGAAGGUCUUCGGAUCGUAAAACUCUGUUAUUAGGGAAGAACAAAUGUGUAAUUAACUAUGCACGUCUUGACGGUACCUAAUCAGAAAGCCACGGCUAACUACGUG
rnacentral:rRNA from 1 species